UUGCACUAAAACACAGACAUAAAUUGUCAGUUGUCAUCAUUUCUAGGUUCUUCUGUUCUUAUUUGACUGGUUUAGUCCACAUCAGAUCAGACUGAAUGUGGAACCUGAAUUAAAAUGAGUUUAGAGCCCUGCCUUUGACUGCCUGAGGACAGUUAGGAAAUGUCACCAACAGGACGUCUCCAAAUGCAUGUUUCUUUUCAGAAUAUAAGCUCAGAAAAGGGGUUAGGACAAACUUUGUCCGGUCACAUGAUCAAAGUUCUCCCUGUGUGGUGUCAGACGUCAGAUUUCACCACCACACAAAAGCUUUGUGGGUGAAUUUUGUAACGUGGCACAAACUGUCAUCUGAACAAUAUU